rnacentral:tRNA from 2 species
GGCUGAAUAGCUCAGUUGGUAGAGCAGCGGACUGAAAAUCCGCGUGUCCCCAGUUCGAAUCUGGGUUCAGCCACCA